rnacentral:rRNA from 1 species
UACGGAGGGUGCAAGCGUUGUUCGGAUUUAUUGGGCGUAAAGCGCGUGUAGGCGGUUUCUUAAGUCUGAUGUGAAAGCCCUGGGCUCAACCCAGGAAGUGCAUUGGAUACUGGGAGACUUGAAUACGGGAGAGGGUGGUGGAAUUCCUAGUGUAGGAGUGAAAUCCGUAGAUAUUAGGAGGAACACCGGUGGCGAAGGCGGCUACCUGGACCGAUAUUGACGCUGAGACGCGAAAGCGUGGGGAGCAAACAGG